rnacentral:misc_RNA from 1 species
GCAACCUGUUAACCAGAAGGGUGGAUGCUGCUCCUCUUAGUUGGUUCUUUCUGCUAUUCUAGUAUGCAUUAUGCGCGAAAUAUCAAGUGCAUUUGAAUCUCUUUCUCUAUAAAGUAUCCGAUAUCCCAUUCAUUUCAAGUAGACCGUGAAUUGUUACUCUAUACCUUUCUGUAUUACGAAAGCAGUAGUGUUCAUUUUUCUUUUUCCCAAU